CCCAGCCCUGGAGCUCCUGCACGGAGAGACCGGUCCUCGUGGGUGACGGGAUGCCUCCCAGGUUAAAGACUUUUUGAAGUAAAGAGGAGCAUCUCAUCUGAACCUGAUGUAUAUCAUGGAUAUUUAACUGCAGUUCUGUGAGUAUCCCAACUUAACCAUGAAGAUGAACUGCAAACUGUAAGUCAUUAAUUUCUCAUUACUCUUGGGCACAUUGAUGUAUUUUGGCUUCCUGGUGAGUUAACCUGUUACCUAAAGGUUGAUCUGAGUAGUAAGGAUGUUUUAUUGGUUCAUGGGUUACUUAGGUGUUUGGUUUAUGUUGGUUUUAAUGAUUUGUUAAAAUGGUUACAGGCUCCAAAUUCUUCUUCUUUCAUUCUACUCUCCUGAGCUCUGCAUCUUCAUCACAUGAGGGUUGCUUUACUUUAGUGUUUUUACCAUAGCCCUGCAACGUCACCCUGACCGCCUCAUCACCAACAGCAAAUCAUGCCAGCCAGCCAACACAUGUAAAGCUCCAGUGAGAA